rnacentral:rRNA from 1 species
UACGGAGGGUGCGAGCGUUGUUCGGAAUCACUGGGCGUAAAGCGCGUGUAGGCGGCCUUGUAAGUCUGGUGUGAAAGCCCGGGGCUUACCCCCGGAAGUGCACUGGAAACUGCAGGGCUAGAGUACCGGAGAGGAAGGUGGAAUUCCUGGUGUAGCGGUGAAAUGCGUAGAUAUCAAGUGGAACACCAGUGGCGAAGGCGAGUCUCUGGACAUUUCCUGACGCUGAGGCACGAAAGCCAGGGGAGCAAACGGG